GACGAACGCUGGCGGCGUGCCUAAUACAUGCAAGUCGAACGCAGUGGGGACGGGUGAGUAACACGUGGGUAACCUCCCAUCAGAGGGGAUAACCCUUGGAAACAGGUGCUCAACCGAUACUUAGUGAUGGACCCGCGUUGCAUUAGCUAGUUGGGGGGGUCACGGCUCACCAAGGCCACGAUGCAUAGCCGGCCUGAGAGGGUGAUCGGCCACACUGGGACUGAGACACGGCCCAGACUCCGACGGGAGGCAGCAGUAGGGAAGCUUCGGCAAUGGACGAAAGUCUGACCGAGCAACGCCGCGUGAGUGAAGAAGGUUUUCGGAUCGUAAAACUCUGUUGUUAGAGAAGCGGUAUCUAACCAGAAAGCCACGGCUAACUACGUGCCAGCAGCCGCGGUAAUUC
rnacentral:rRNA from 1 species